GGACAUUUCACGUCGAAACACAGUUUCCCGUACGAUAACCGAAGUUAAGCAACGUUGUGCAUGGUCAAUACCUAGAUGGGUGACAGCCUGAGAAAACCAGGUGCUGUAA